rnacentral:rRNA from 1 species
CCUACGGGAGGCAGCAGUGAGGAAUAUUGGUCAAUGGGCGCAAGCCUGAACCAGCCAAGUAGCGUGAAGGAUGAAUGCCCUACGGGUUGUAAACUGCUUUUAUAAGGGGAUAAAGUGCGGCACGUGUGCCUGUUUGUAUGUACUGUAUGAAUAAGGAUCGGCUAAUUCCGUGCCAGCAGCCGCGGUAAUACGGAGGAUCCGAGCGUUAUCCGGAUUUAUUGGGUUUAAAGGGAGCGUAGAGGGGCCGUUAAGUCAGGUGUUAAAGUGUGCGGCUCAACCGGACAAUGGCAUUUGAUACUGGAAGUCUUGAGUACACAUCAGGUAGGCGGAAUUCGUGGUGUAGCGGUGAAAUGCAUAGAUAUCACGAAGAACCCCGAUUGCGAAGGCAGCCUAC